UAUAUUGAAUGGCAUCAUUCGAUAUUGAAAACUCCGGUGGAUAGAGAUGGGCACGCGCAAGAUUAGAUAGUUGGUGAGGUAACGGCUCACCAAGUCUGCGAUCUUUAGGGGGCCUGAGAGGGUGAUCCCCCACACUGGUACUGAGACACGGACCAGACUCCUACGGGAGGCAGCAGUGAGGAAUAUUGGACAAUGGGUGAGAGCCUGAUCCAGCCAUCCCGCGUGAAGGACGACGGCCCUAUGGGUUGUAAACUUCUUUUGUAUAGGGAUAAACCUAGAUACGUGUAUCUAGCUGAAGGUACUAUACGAAUAAGCACCGGCUAACUCCGUGCCAGCAGCCGCGGUAAUACGGAGGGUGCAAGCGUUAUCCGGAUUUAUUGGGUUUAAAGGGUCCGUAGGCGGAUCUGUAAGUCAGUGGUGAAAUCUCACAGCUUAACUGUGAAACUGCCAUUGAUACUGCAGGUCUUGAGUGUUGUUGAAGUAGCUGGAAUAAGUAGUGUAGCGGUNNGAAAUGCAUAGAUAUUACUUAGAACACCAAUUGCGAAGGCAGGUUACUAANGCAACAACUGACGCUGAUGGACGAAAGCGUUGGGGAGCGAACAGGAUUAGAUACCCUGGUAGUCCACGCCGUAAACGAUGCUAACUCGUUUUUUGGGAUUUAGGUUUCAGAGACUAAGCGAAAGUGAUAAGUUAGCCACCUGGGGAGUACGUUCGCAAGAAUGAAACUCAAAGGAAUUGACGGGGGCCCGCACAAGCGGUGGAUUAUGUGGUUUAAUUCGAUGAUACGCGAGGAACCUUACCAAGGCUUAAAUGGGAAAUGACAGGUUUAGAAAUAGACUUUUCUUCGGACAUUUUUCAAGGUGCUGCAUGGUUGUCGUCAGCUCGUGCCGUGAGGUGUUAGGUUAAGUCCUGCAACGAGCGCAACCCCUGUCACUAGUUGCCAUCAUUAAGUUGGGGACUCUAGUGAGACUGCCUACGCAAGUAGAGAGGAAGGUGGGGAUGACGUCAAAUCAUCACGGCCCUUACGCCUUGGGCCACACACGUAAUACAAUGGCCAGUACAGAGGGCAGCUACACAGCGAUGUGAUGCAAAUCUCGAAAGCUGGUCUCAGUUCGGAUUGGAGUCUGCAA
rnacentral:rRNA from 1 species